UGAUCAGAUUAGAAUCAAACUGUUGCUAAGUUUAAAUUCCACUGUGCAUCUAUACAACUUAGCUUAAUUAAUUGAAAAGUUUAGAUGUAGUUGAAAAGUUUUAAAAGACCCAAUUCACCCCCCCUCUUGGGUUGUAUCUACUGGGCAACAAGUGGUAUCAGAGCAGAUGCUCUAAGGUUAAUUGUUGAUCUCACGAUCAAGAGCCAAAGAUCAUGACAACUCAAAUAGAUAGUUUUCUAUAAAAGGGACAAUUAAUUGAUAGACCUCCACUAUUUAAUGGCAUAAACUAUACACAUUGGAAAGCACGCAUGCGCAUUUUCAUUCAAGC
rnacentral:lncRNA from 1 species